rnacentral:rRNA from 1 species
UACGUAGGUGGCAAGCGUUGUCCGGAUUUAUUGGGCUUAAAGGGUGCGUAGGCGGCCUGCUAAGUCGGACGUGAAAUCCCCCGGCUCAACCGGGGAACUGCGUCCGAUACUGGUGGGCUCGAAUCCGGGAGAGGGAUGUGGAAUUCCAGGUGUAGCGGUGAAAUGCGUAGAUAUCUGGAGGAACACCGGUGGCGAAGGCGGCAUCCUGGACCGGUAUUGACGCUGAGGCGCGAAAGCCAGGGGAGCAAACGGG